rnacentral:pre_miRNA from 2 species
AACAUAUUCCCUCCGUGUGGAAAUACUCGUCCUAGAAAUAGAUGUAUCUAAACUUAUUUUAAUUAUAGAUACAUUCAUUUUAUUUAUUUUUAAGAUAAGUAUUUUCGAAUGAAGGGAAUAUGUU